CUGAUUUGGUAAGAAUAUCACAGUCUUUAAGACUCCAGUAAUAAUAUAUGAAUUAUAUUUUAGGACAGAUCAAUCAGCUGAUAUGGUUACUUUCAAUAGAACAAUUUGGAAUUGCUUGGAAUUGGCAGACAUAUGAAUUCCCUUUUAUGCUUCCAAAUAACUUAGGCAUGAACCAAUUAUUAAUCCCAGUAACUGGAGAACUUAGCUUGCUUUCCAUGGCUGUUGAGCAUGGAAGUCCUUUCCAGAAUAGUGAGGAUUAUGGUUCCCU